ACGAACGCUGGCGGCGUGCCUAAUACAUGCAAGUAGAACGCUGAAGAGAGGAGCUUGCUCUUCUUGGAUGAGUUGCGAACGGGUGAGUAACGCGUAGGUAACCUGCCUUGUAGCGGGGGAUAACUAUUGGAAACGAUAGCUAAUACCGCAUAACAAUGGAUGACACAUGUCAUUUAUUUGAAAGGGGCAAUUGCUCCACUACAAGAUGGACCUGCGUUGUAUUAGCUAGUAGGUGAGGUAAUGGCUCACCUAGGCGACGAUACAUAGCCGACCUGAGAGGGUGAUCGGCCACACUGGGACUGAGACACGGCCCAGACUCCUACGGGAGGCAGCAGUAGGGAAUCUUCGGCAAUGGGGGCAACCCUGACCGAGCAACGCCGCGUGAGUGAAGAAGGUUUUCGGAUCGUAAAGCUCUGUUGUAAGUCAAGAACGGGUGUGAGAGUGGAAAGUUCACACUGUGACGGUAGCUUACCAGAAAGGGACGGCUAACUACGUGCCAGCAGCCGCGGUAAUACGUAGGUCCCGAGCGUUGUCCGGAUUUAUUGGGCGUAAAGCGAGCGCAGGCGGUUUGAUAAGUCUGAAGUUAAAGGCUGUGGCUCAACCAUAGUUCGCUUUGGAAACUGUCAAACUUGAGUGCAGAAGGGGAGAGUGGAAUUCCAUGUGUAGCGGUGAAAUGCGUAGAUAUAUGGAGGAACACCGGUGGCGAAAGCGGCUCUCUGGUCUGUAACUGACGCUGAGGCUCGAAAGCGUGGGGAGCGAACAGGAUUAGAUACCCUGGUAGUCCACGCCGUAAACGAUGAGUGCUAGGUGUUGGAUCCUUUCCGGGAUUCAGUGCCGCAGCUAACGCAUUAAGCACUCCGCCUGGGGAGUACGACCGCAAGGUUGAAACUCAAAGGAAUUGACGGGGGCCCGCACAAGCGGUGGAGCAUGUGGUUUAAUUCGAAGCAACGCGAAGAACCUUACCAGGUCUUGACAUCCCGAUGCUAUUUCUAGAGAUAGAAAGUUACUUCGGUACAUCGGUGACAGGUGGUGCAUGGUUGUCGUCAGCUCGUGUCGUGAGAUGUUGGGUUAAGUCCCGCAACGAGCGCAACCCCUAUUGUUAGUUGCCAUCAUUCAGUUGGGCACUCUAGCGAGACUGCCGGUAAUAAACCGGAGGAAGGUGGGGAUGACGUCAAAUCAUCAUGCCCCUUAUGACCUGGGCUACACACGUGCUACAAUGGUUGGUACAACGAGUUGCGAGUCGGUGACGGCGAGCUAAUCUCUUAAAGCCAAUCUCAGUUCGGAUUGUAGGCUGCAACUCGCCUACAUGAAGUCGGAAUCGCUAGUAAUCGCGGAUCAGCACGCCGCGGUGAAUACGUUCCCGGGCCUUGUACACACCGCCCGUCACACCACGAGAGUUUGUAACACCCGAAGUCGGUGAGGUAACCUUUUGGAGCCAGCCGCCUAAGGUGGGACAGAUGAUUGGGGUG
rnacentral:rRNA from 1 species